rnacentral:rRNA from 1 species
UACGUAGGGUGCAAGCGUUGUCCGGAAUUAUUGGGCGUAAAGAGCUCGUAGGCGGUCUGUCGCGUCUGCUGUGAAAACUCAGGGCUUAACCCUGAGCUUGCAGUCGAUACGGGCAGGCUAGAGUUCGGUAGGGGAGACUGGAAUUCCUGGUGUAGCGGUGAAAUGCGCAGAUAUCAGGAGGAACACCGGUGGCGAAGGCGACAUCCUGGACCAACACUGACGCUGAGUGAGCGAAAGCCAGGGAGCAAACGGG